rnacentral:rRNA from 1 species
UGGGGGAUAUUGCACAAUGGGCGAAAGCCUGAUGCAGCGACGCCGCGUGGGGGAUGAAGGCUUUCGGGUUGUAAACCUCUUUCGCUAUCGAACAAGGCCCGCUUAGGGUGGGUUGAGGGUAGGUGGAGAAGAAGCGCCGGCUCACUACGUGCCAGCAGCCGCGGUAAUACGUAGGGCGCGAGCGUUGUCCGGAAUUAUUGGGCGUAAAGGGCUUGUAGGCGGCUUGUUGCGCCUGCUGUGAAAACGCGGGGCUUAACUUCGCGCGUGCAGUGGGUACGGGCAGGCUUGAGUGUGGUAGGGGUGACUGGAAUUCCAGGUGUAGCGGUGGAAUGCGCAGAUAUCUGGAGGAACACCGAUGGCGAAGGCAGGUCACUGGGCCAUUACUGACGCUGAGGAGCGAAAGCAUGGGUAGCGAACAGG